rnacentral:rRNA from 1 species
CGGGGGGGGCAAGCGUUGUUCGGAAUUACUGGGCGUAAAGGGCUCGUAGGCGGCCAACUAAGUCGGAUGUGAAAUCCCCAAGCUUAACUUGGGAACUGCAUCCGAUACUGGAUGGCUUGAAUCCGGGAGAGGGAUGCAGAAUUCCAGGUGUAGCGGUGAAAUGCGUAGAUAUCUGGAGGAAUACCGGUGGCGAAGGCGGCAUCCUGGACCGGCAUUGACGCUGAGGAGCGAAAGCUAGGGGAGCAAACGGG